AACGAACGCUGGCGGCAUGCCUAACACAUGCAAGUCGAACGAGACCUUCGGGUCUAGUGGCGCACGGGUGCGUAACACGUGGGAAUUUGCCUCGGGGUAUGGAAUAACUCAGGGAAACUUGAGCUAAUACCAUAUAAUGUCUUCGGACCAAAGAUUUAUCGCCCUGAGAUAAGCCCGCGUAGGAUUAGCUAGUUGGUGGGGUAAAGGCUCACCAAGGCGACGAUCCUUAGCUGGUCUGAGAGGAUGAUCAGCCACACUGGGACUGAGACACGGCCCAGACUCCUACGGGAGGCAGCAGUGGGGGAAUAUUGGGACAAAUGGGCGAAAGACCUGAUCCAGCAAUAGCCGCGUGAGUGAUGAAGGC
rnacentral:rRNA from 1 species